GACGCUGGCGGCGUGCCUAAUACAUGCAAGUCGAACGAACGGAUAAAGAGCUUGCUCUUUUGAAGUCAGUGGCGGACGGGUGAGUAACACGUGGGUAACCUGCCUCACAGCUGGGGAUAACAUCGAGAAAUCGAUGCUAAUACCGAAUGUGCUGAACAUCAUAAGAUGUUCAAGUGAAAGACGGUUUCGGCUGUCACUGUGAGAUGGACCCGCGCUGGAUUAGCUAGUUGGUAAGGUAAUGGCUUUACCAAGGCGACGAUCCAUAGCCGACCUGAGAGGGUGAUCGGCCACAUUGGGACUGAGACACGGCCCAAACUCCUACGGGAGGCAGCAGUAGGGAAUCUUCGGCAAUGGACGAAAGUCUGACCGAGCAACGCCGCGUGAGCGAAGAAGGCCUUCGGGUCGUAAAGCUCUGUUGUUAGAGAAGAACAUGGGUGAGAGUAACUGUUCACCCCUUGACGGUAUCUAACCAGAAAGCCACGGCUAACUACGUG
rnacentral:rRNA from 1 species